GCGCAACCCUUGCCUUUAGUUGCCAGCAGUUCGGCUGGGCACUCUAAAGGGACUGCCGGUGUUAAACCGGAGGAAGUGGGGGAUGACGUCAAGUCCUCAUGGCCUUUAUGACCAGGGCUACACACGUACUACAAUGGCCGAUCAAAGGGCAGCGACACUGCGAGGUGAAGCCAAUCCCGUAAAAAUCGGUCUCAGUCCGGAUUGGAGUCUGCAACUCGACUCCAUGAAGUUGGAAUCGCUAGUAAUCGUGGAUCAGCAUGCCACGGUGAAUACGUUCCCGGGCCUU
rnacentral:rRNA from 1 species